rnacentral:rRNA from 1 species
GUGCCAGCAUCCGCGGUACUACAUAUUUGUCAAGCGUUGUCCGGAUUUAUUGGGCGUAAAGAGCUCGUAGGCGGUUCAACAAGUCGGUCGUAAAAGUUUAGGGCUCAACCCUAAAAUGUCGAUCGAUACUGUUGUGACUAGGAUACGGUAGAGGUGAAUGGAAUUCCGAGUGUAGCGGUGAAAUGCGUAGAUAUUCGGAGGAACACCAAUUGCGAAGGCAGUUCACUGGACCGUGAUCGACGCUGAGGAGCGAAAGCUAGGGGAACAAACAGGAUUAGAUA